rnacentral:rRNA from 1 species
UCGGGAAUUUUGGGCAAUGGGGGAAACCCUGACCCAGCAACGCCGCGUGCAGGAUGAAGUAUUUCGGUAUGUAAACUUCGAAAGAAUAGGAAGAAUUAAUGACGGUACUAUUUAUAAGGUCCGGCUAACUACGUGCCAGCAGCCGCGGUAAUACGUAGGGACCAAGCGUUGUUCGGAUUUACUGGGCGUAAAGGGCGCGUAGGCGGCGCGGUAAGUCACUUGUGAAAUCUCUGAGCUUAACUCAGAACGGCCAAGUGAUACUGCAGUGCUAGAGUGUGGAAGGGGCAAUCGGAAUUCUUGGUGUAGCGGUGAAAUGCGUAGAUAUCAAGAGGAACACCUGAGGUGAAGACGGGUUGCUGGGCCAACACUGACGCUGAGGCGCGAAAGCCAGGGGAGCAAACGGG